CGUUAGCGGCGGACGGGUGAGUAACACGUGGUAACCUACCUAUAAGACUGGAUAACUUCGGGAACCGGAGCUAAUACCGGAUAAUAUUUCGAACCGCAUGGUUCGAUAGUGAAAGAUGGUUUUGCUAUCACUUAUAGAUGGACCCGCGCCGUAUUAGCUAGUUGGUAAGGUAACGGCUUACCAAGGCGACGAUACGUAGCCGACCUGAGAGGGUGAUCGGCCACACUGGAACUGAGACACGGUCCAGACUCCUACGGGAGGCAGCAGUA
rnacentral:rRNA from 1 species